rfam:Trichobilharzia regenti genome assembly, scaffold: TRE_scaffold0000850
AUCCAGAUGACGAGUCCCAAAUAGGACGAAAUGCACAUCCUGAAU